AUUUGAGUUUUGCUCUUCACUUCUGCAAACUUUCCACAGUGAACACAACUUCGGCCUAUGACUAAAAACAGUAAGAGUUGCAGAUAUGAAACUCCUGCUACUUCUGAUCAUGAUCUGUGGAUUGGUAAAAAAUAAAGCUUCAGUACAACCAGAAAGGCGCGACUCCUUGCCAAAUACAGCAUCAUAUGUUACCAAACCAGCCUGCAACGACGUCUCACAGAACUGUGCUAAAGAACAACCAAAGACAACUGAAAAAACCCACGCUAC